rnacentral:rRNA from 1 species
ACGUAGGGGGCGAGCGUUGUCCGGAUUUACUGGGCGUAAAGAGCGCGUAGGCGGUUAACUAAGUCAGGUGUGAAAUCUCCAGGGCUCAACCCGGAAACUGCAUUUGAUACUGGUUAACUCGAGUGUCGGAGAGGUAACUAGAAUUCCUGGUGUAGCGGUGACAUGCAUUGAUAUCAGGAGGAACACCCAUGGCGAAGGCAGGUUACUGGCCGACAACUGACGCUGAGGCGCGAAAGCGUGGGUAGCAAACAGAA